UACGUAGGGUGCGAGCGUUGUCCGGAAUUACUGGGCGUAAAGAGCUCGUAGGUGGUUUGUCGCGUCGUUCGUGAAAUCCCACAGCUUAACUGUGGGCGUGCGGGCGAUACGGGCAGACUGGAGUACUGCAGGGGAGACUGGAAUUCCUGGUGUAGCGGUGGAAUGCGCAGAUAUCAGGAGGAACACCGGUGGCGAAGGCGGGUCUCUGGGCAGUAACUGACGCUGAGGAGCGAAAGCGUGGGGAGCGAACAGG
rnacentral:rRNA from 1 species